rnacentral:rRNA from 1 species
CCUACGGGUGGCUGCAGUGAGGAAUAUUGGUCAAUGGCCGGAAGGCUGAACCAGCCAUGCCGCGUGAAGGUCAGUGCCCUAUGGGCGUUAAACUUCUUUUGUGCGGGAGCAAUAAUGGUCACGUGUGGCCAGACGAGAGUACCGUACGAAUAAGCAUCGGCUAACUCCGUGCCAGCCGCCGCGGUCAUACGGGGGAUGCAAGCGUUAUCCGGAUUUUUUGGGUUUAAAGGGUGCGUAGGCUGUGAGGUAAGUCAGCGGUGAAAUGCCCCCGCUUAACGGGGUGAAGUGCCAUUGAUACUGCCGUGCUGGAAUGCGGAUGCCGUGGGAGGAAUGUGUGGUGUAGCGGUGAAAUGCAUAGAUAUCACACAGAACACCGAUUGCGAAGGCAGCUCACGAAUCCGCGAUUGACGCUGAUGCACGAAAGCGUGGGUAUCAAACAGGAUUAGAUACCCGAGUAGUC